rnacentral:rRNA from 1 species
GACGAACGCUGGCGGCGUGCUUAACACAUGCAAGUCGAACGGAAAGGCCCUGCUUUUGUGGGGUGCUCGAGUGGCGAACGGGUGAGUAACACGUGAGUAACCUGCCCUUGACUUUGGGAUAACUUCAGGAAACUGGGGCUAAUACCGGAUAGGAGCUCCUGCUGCAUGGUGGGGGUUGGAAAGUUUCGGCGGUUGGGGAUGGACUCGCGGCUUAUCAGCUUGUUGGUGGGGUAGUGGCUUACCAAGGCUUUGACGGGUAGCCGGCCUGAGAGGGUGACCGGCCACAUUGGGACUGAGAUACGGACCAGACUCCUACGGGAGGCAGCAGUGGGGAAUAUUGCACAAUGGGCGGAAGCCCGAUGCAGCAACGCCGCGUGCGGGAUGACGGCCUUCGGGUUGUAAACCGCUUUCGCCUGUGACGAAGCGUGAGUGACGGUAAUGGGUAAAGAAGCACCGGCUAACUACGUG